rnacentral:rRNA from 1 species
UACGUAGGGUGCGAGCGUUAAUCGGAAUUACUGGGCGUAAAGCGUGCGCAGGCGGUUUUGUAAGCCAGAUGUGAAAUCCCCGGGCUUAACCUGGGAACUGCAUUUGUGACUGCACGGCUAGAGUGCGGCAGAGGGGGAUGGAAUUCCGCGUGUAGCAGUGAAAUGCGUAGAUAUGCGGAGGAACACCGAUGGCGAAGGCAAUCCCCUGGGCCUGUACUGACGCUCAUGCACGAAAGCGUGGGGAGCAAACAGG